GUGCUCUCUUCAGUAGCACACAUACUAAAAUUGGAAUGAUAUAGAGAAGACUAGCAUGGCCGCUGCAUAAGGAUGACUUGCAAAUUUGUGAAGUGUUCUGUAUUUUU